rnacentral:rRNA from 1 species
UACGUAGGGGGCAAGCGUUGUCCGGAAUCAUUGGGCGUAAAGCGCGUGUAGGCGGCUGACUAAGUCCGCUCUGAAAGCCCGGGGCUCAACCCCGGGAGGCGGGUGGAUACUGGUCAGCUCGAGUCCGGAAGAGGAGUGUGGAAUUCCUGGUGUGAGCGGUGAAAUGCGCAGAUAUCAGGAGGAACACCAAUGGCGAAGGCAGCACUCUGGGACGGUACUGACGCUGAGACGCGAAAGCGUGGGGAGCAAACAGG